AGUUUUGAGCUAAAUAUAUUUUAAAUAUUAGUUAUUUUAUGAAGGUGUUGUAAAACCUUAUUAAAAAAUAUAUUUAGGAGUGAUAGGCUUUUCAAAAACUAAGAUAUCUUGAAUCUAAUUAAAAGUAUGUAGUACAUUAAACACAACUAUUAAGUGAUUAGGCUUUAUAGAAUUAUUAACUUAUAAGAUUUUAUUUACUAUAAUUUAAUAUUUAAGUUCAUAAAUAUAUUAAUAUUCAUAUAUUUUAGUUUAUAAUAGAGUAAUUUGAUAGAUUUAAGUUUUUAUUUCUUAUAAUAAUGUUAAUAUUAGUAUUAAGUUUAUAUUUAUAUGAUGAACUCGGCAAAAAUACUUCUCAACUGUUUAUCAAAAACAUAACUAUGUGAAUGAAUACAUAGCGGUUUCUGCUCAAUG
rnacentral:rRNA from 1 species